AAGUCGUAACAAGGUUUCCGUAGGUAGCAGUUUUGCCUACCACAGUGAGCCCUUGCUUGCUAGUCUCCUCGGAGGCGACACGCUCGAUGUGCGGAAAAAUCCUCCUGGGAGGGAAAUCCGCAGCUCCUACCCGGAGUUCAGAGACUCAAUGAGUGUGGGUCUGGUUCGCCAGGCUUGAGAUAGAGCCCCGUCCCGGCAGGCAACUGCCGGGGGUCAACGGAACCUGCGGAAGGAUCAUUAAAGAAUUGACGGUUCUCCGGAGCUAGAUUCUUCACCCUGUGUAUAUUAACUCUGUUGCUUUGGCAGGCCUCCGGCUUCGGCUGGGUCGUGUCUGUCAGAGGCCUAACUCUUGAAUUUUUUGCAGUCUGAGUACUAUAUAAUAGUUAAAA
rnacentral:misc_RNA from 1 species